AGAAGCAUGGCUCACUGGGAGAGCAUCAGCCUAGCAAGUGCAAGGCCUGUGUUCAAUCCCCAGUGCCUUUU
rnacentral:tRNA from 1 species